AGUCACCUUUUAACAAUGAGUUCAGGGGUGCCUGGGUGGCCCAGACGGUUGAGUGUCUGCCUUCUGCUGGGUGCUGGUCCCCUGGCCGGGGGGCCUCCGCUCAGGGGGCAGGCUUCUCCCUCUCCCUGCCCUCUGCCUACUUGUGCUCUCUCGCUCUCUCUAAUAAAUAAAAUCUUUUAAAAAAAUUUUUUUUAAUAAAAAUGAAUUCAAUUUUGGAAACCUCAGACUGUUCUGUGCUUCCUCCAUUCUUACCCUAGGCCAGGGUUCUCAACAUGGACACUAUUAACAUCUGAGCUGAAUAAUUCUGGGUUGUGCUCUGACACUGUAGAGCGGUCAACAGCAUCCCUGACCUCUCUCUCCACCACAUGCGGGUAGCAAACCCCAUCAUCCCUCUCCCAGUUGUGACUGUUUUAUCUUUGGAGCAGCGAAACAUAAAGGAGUACCCACAGCAGUUGAGCUGGAUGCCAAGGGAGACUGUGUUUGCAGUAUUCAGCAGUGGGGGGAUCUGUUUCAAAGCUCCCAGUGGAUGCCUGAAACUGCCUCAUCCCAAACCCCAGGUCAACAGUUACCUUCGUGAAGGCAGGACAACCACCACAGUGAGUGGGACUCAAGAUGAAGAGACAGGUGGAGACCGCUGUCUUCAGAUACUCUUUGAAGAAACUUCAAGGUGA
rnacentral:lncRNA from 1 species